rnacentral:rRNA from 1 species
GACAGCAGUAGCCGCGGUAAUACGGAGGGUGCAAGCGUUAAUCGGAAUUACUGGGCGUAAAGCGUGCGUAGGCGGUUCGUUAAGUCUGUUGUGAAAGCCCCGGGCUCAACCUGGGAAUGGCAAUGGAUACUGGCGAGCUAGAGUGUGUCAGAGGAUGGUGGAAUUCCCGGUGUAGCGGUGAAAUGCGUAGAGAUCGGGAGGAACAUCAGUGGCGAAGGCGGCCAUCUGGGACAACACUGACGCUGAGGCACGAAAGCGUGGGGAGCAAACAGGAUUAGAUACCCGCGUAGUCCCUGUCUCUUAUAC